AGGAAGGCAGAGAGACUGUGUGUGUGAGGUGCGAGCAGUUGAGAUUUUUUGCUGAUGGGCUGUGCUGCCAGCUGAUCUAUUUCCAAAAGCACUUGCUGACAGAUAAUUGACCAUCUGACCACUGAUCCACAUAGCUGUGGAACUGAAUGGAAAAAAAAGGAAUAUGUCACUUUGGCCUGGAA